CCUACGGGAGGCAGCAGUGGGGAAUAUUGGACAAUGGGCGAAAGCCUGAUCCAGCCAUGCCGCGUGUGUGAAGAAGGCCUUCGGGUUGUAAAGCACUUUCAGUGGGGAAGAAAGCCUUGGGGCUAAUACCCUCGAGGAAGGACAUCACCCACAGAAGAAGCACCGGCUAACUCCGUGCCAGCAGCCGCGGUAAUACGGAGGGUGCGAGCGUUAAUCGGAAUUACUGGGCGUAAAGCGCGCGUAGGCGGUCUGAUAAGCCGGUUGUGAAAGCCCCGGGCUCAACCUGGGAACGGCAUCCGGAACUGUCAGGCUAGAGGGCAGGAGAGGAAGGUAGAAUUCCCGGUGUAGCGGUGAAAUGCGUAGAGAUCGGGAGGAAUACCAGUGGCGAAGGCGGCCUUCUGGACUGACACUGACGCUGAGGUGCGAAAGCGUGGGUAGCAAACAGGAUUAGAUACCCCAGUAGUC
rnacentral:rRNA from 1 species